AUCUCAUCUAACCAUUAACUCGCUGUCGCUCCAAGAACAGUCGAGCACGAGGAGAGCAUGUCUUUCAAACCGAACGGGAGUCCGCCGCCCGAUAACUUUGAACAAGGUGAUCAUGAAAAUAAUGUUGAGUUGCAGCACUUCUAUUGUUGGAUGUCACCGCCGGGCAUCAUCAAGAUCAUGUGUGUCCUGUCUGUGAUCUGGUGUGUGAAAAUCUUCAUGUGUAGCUCAAACUCUGGCUGGGUUUGGAACCUAUGGAACCAUGUAAGGAGGUGGCUAUGGAGGUUCUUAAAGCUCUUUUGGUGGCUUUGGAGAUUGUGGAAGUUCUUACGGUGGCUUUGGAGGAACCGGCUGUGGAAUGGGAGAUUAUGGAAGCUUUGGUUACGGUAUCCUCAGAUCGCCGAUUGAGGUUUUUAUGAUUGCCGUGGCUGUAGUAUGAACGCAGCUGUAUGAUGUGCGGGUGGGAUGAGCGUCUCACUUAUGUCUGAUGUUUUUUAACUUUCCUAAGUUUCAUUAAUGGAGAAUAAAGAGAGAUGUGCAAAAAGAAAAAUUCUCUUCUCAGAGAAUUCACAAAUAUGACAAAAUAAUGAGAACUACAACUAAAACAGACAGUACUGGAUUAUAACCACAGAGGCGCCAUGUCCCGCUGAAUGCAAGACUUGUGUGGAUGGUAUCACAUAUAUUAAAAUCUACAUUGGCACGAGGAAACAAUUGCUUGUAUGCUUUUAAUAAACGCUCUCUGAACCUUGACUUCUAACCUUUUUAGUACUUGUUUCAUUUCGAAUUAGUUGUAUCAUAUACUGUGUGUUAAAAUUUGUGAUUUAUGA